GGUUAAGCGACUAAGCGUACACGGUGGAUGCCCUGGCAGUCAGAGGCGAUGAAGGACGUGCUAAUCUGCGAAAAGCGUCGGUAAGGUGAUAUGAACCGUUAUAACCGGCGAUGUCCGAAUGGGGAAACCCAGUGCAAUUCGUUGCACUAUCGUUAACUGAAUACAUAGGUUAACGAGGCGAACCGGGGGGAACUGAAACAUCUAAGUACCCCGAGGAAAAGAAAUCAACCGAGAUUCCCCCAGUAGCGGCGAGCGAACGGGGAGCAGCCCAGAGUCUGAAUCAGCUUGUGUGUUAGUGGAACGGUCUGGAAAGUCCGACGGUACAGGGUGAUAGUCCCGUACACCAAAAUGCACAGGUUGUGAACUCGAAGAGUAGGGCGGGACACGUGGUAUCCUGUCUGAAUAUGGGGGGACCAUCCUCCAAGGCUAAAUACUCCUGACUGACCGAUAGUGAACCAGUACCGUGAGGGAAAGGCGAAAAGAACCCCGGCGAGGGGAGUGAAAAAGAACCUGAAACCGUGUACGUACAAGCAGUGGGAGCACCUUCGGGUGUGACUGCGUACCUUUGUAUAAUGGGUCAGCGACUUAUAUUCUGUAGCAAGGUUAACCGUAUAGGGGAGCCGCAGGGAAACCGAGUCUUAACUGGGCGUUAAGUUGCAGGGUAUAGACCCGAAACCCGGUGAUCUAGCCAUGGGCAGGUUGAAGGUUGGGUAACACUAACUGGAGGACCGAACCGACUAAUGUUGAAAAAUUAGCGGAUGACUUGUGGCUGGGGGUGAAAGGCCAAUCAAACCGGGAGAUAGCUGGUUCUCCCCGAAAGCUAUUUAGGUAGCGCCUCGUGAAUUCAUCUUCGGGGGUAGAGCACUGUUUCGGCUAGGGGUCAUCCCGACUUACCAACCCGAUGCAAACUACGAAUACCGAAGAAUGUUAUCACGGGAGACACACGGCGGGUGCUAACGUCCGUCGUGAAGAGGGAAACAACCCAGACCGCCAGCUAAGGUCCCAAAGUCAUGGUUAAGUGGGAAACGAUGUGGGAAGGCACAGACAGCCAGGAUGUUGGCUUAGAAGCAGCCAUCAUUUAAAGAAAGCGUAAUAGCUCACUGGUCGAGUCGGCCUGCGCGGAAGAUGUAACGGGGCUAAACCAUGCACCGAAGCUGCGGCAGCGACACUAUGUGUUGUUGGGUAGGGGAGCGUUCUGUAAGCCUGCGAAGGUGUGCUGUGAGGCAUGCUGGAGGUAUCAGAAGUGCGAAUGCUGACAUAAGUAACGAUAAAGCGGGUGAAAAGCCCGCUCGCCGGAAGACCAAGGGUUCCUGUCCAACGUUAAUCGGGGCAGGGUGAGUCGACCCCUAAGGCGAGGCCGAAAGGCGUAGUCGAUGGGAAACAGGUUAAUAUUCCUGUACUUGGUGUUACUGCGAAGGGGGGACGGAGAAGGCUAUGUUAGCCGGGCGACGGUUGUCCCGGUUUAAGCAUGUAGGCUGAUUAUCCAGGCAAAUCCGGAUAAUCAAGGCUGAGGUGUGAUGACGAGGCACUACGGUGCUGAAGUAACAAAUGCCCUGCUUCCAGGAAAAGCCUCUAAGCAUCAGGUAACAUCAAAUCGUACCCCAAACCGACACAGGUGGUCAGGUAGAGAAUACCAAGGCGCUUGAGAGAACUCGGGUGAAGGAACUAGGCAAAAUGGUGCCGUAACUUCGGGAGAAGGCACGCUGGUGUGUAGGUGAAGCCCCUGCGGGUGGAGCUGAGACCAGUCGAAGAUACCAGCUGGCUGCAACUGUUUAUUAAAAACACAGCACUGUGCAAACACGAAAGUGGACGUAUACGGUGUGACGCCUGCCCGGUGCCGGAAGGUUAAUUGAUGGGGUUAUCCGUAAGGAGAAGCUCUUGAUCGAAGCCCCGGUAAACGGCGGCCGUAACUAUAACGGUCCUAAGGUAGCGAAAUUCCUUGUCGGGUAAGUUCCGACCUGCACGAAUGGCGUAAUGAUGGCCGGGCUGUCUCCACCCGAGACUCAGUGAAAUUGAACUCGCUGUGAAGAUGCAGUGUACCCGCGGCAAGACGGAAAGACCCCGUGAACCUUUACUAUAGCUUGACACUGAACAUUGAGCCUUGAUGUGUAGGAUAGGUGGGAGGCUUUGAAGCGUGGACGCCAGUCUGCGUGGAGCCAACCUUGAAAUACCACCCUUUAAUGUUUGAUGUUCUAACGUUGGCCCCUGACCGGGGUUGCGGACAGUGUCUGGUGGGUAGUUUGACUGGGGCGGUCUCCUCCCAAAGCGUAACGGAGGAGCACGAAGGUUAGCUAAUCCUGGUCGGACAUCAGGAGGUUAGUGCAAUGGCAUAAGCUAGCUUGACUGCGAGCGUGACGGCGCGAGCAGGUGCGAAAGCAGGUCAUAGUGAUCCGGUGGUUCUGAAUGGAAGGGCCAUCGCUCAACGGAUAAAAGGUACUCCGGGGAUAACAGGCUGAUACCGCCCAAGAGUUCAUAUCGACGGCGGUGUUUGGCACCUCGAUGUCGGCUCAUCACAUCCUGGGGCUGAAGUAGGUCCCAAGGGUAUGGCUGUUCGCCAUUUAAAGUGGUACGCGAGCUGGGUUUAGAACGUCGUGAGACAGUUCGGUCCCUAUCUGCCGUGGGCGCUGGAGAAUUGAGGGGGGCUGCUCCUAGUACGAGAGGACCGGAGUGGACGCAUCACUGGUGUUCGGGUUGUCAUGCCAAUGGCACUGCCCGGUAGCUAAAUGCGGAAGAGAUAAGUGCUGAAAGCAUCUAAGCACGAAACUUGCCCCGAGAUGAGUUCUCCCUGAGACUUUAAGUCUCCUGAAGGAACGUUGAAGACGACGACGUUGAUAGGCCGGGUGUGUAAGCGCAGCGAUGCGUUGAGCUAACCGGUACUAAUGAACCGUGAGGCUUAACCUU
rnacentral:rRNA from 1 species